UCAGAGAUCAUCGAUGUGAUUCAAAGCAAUUCUAUUUCUCUUCAUUUUUUCCACUGAAAAAGAAAAUAUAUUUUGUUUUACUAUCUCAUUUAUCUUUAUUUUAUUUUACCAUCUUCAUUAAUACCUUCCACUAAUUGCUCUUACACCUUUCCAACCAACUGUUCUCCUAAAUCUGAUUCCCUAGCCUUUAUAACCAAUUAUUCAAGCUUCAGCCCUAAACUAUCACACCAUGUCCAUCAAGCACAAAUUUCUUUUGGCCUUUAAGUGAUUUAGUUUUCCUGCAUCACUCUUGCAAUCAUGACAUCUAAUGUGGAUAUAAAAUUCAGUGCCAACAAGAUUGAGACUGAUAAAUUUCUAUGUGAUGGAAUUUUAUGAGAUCAUUUUGGAUCAUCUUGCCUUAUAGGUAAGAGUGGAAGGACCCGUGCAGAAGGUUUCUGAUGAGGAGUCUGAGAAGUACUUCCAUAGUCGUCCUCGUGGUUCUCAGAUCGGAGCAAUUGUUAGCAAGCAGAGUACAAUUGUUCCUGGAAGGCAUGUUCUGCAUCAAGAGUAUAGAGUACUGGAAGCGAAAUUUUCUGAUGGAAGCUUGAUUCCAAAACCCAAACACUCGGGUGGAUACCGGCUAAAACCAGUUGUCAUUGAGUUUUGGCAAGGACAACAGUCUCGUCUGCAUGAUCGGUUGCAAUAUUCUCUUCAAGACGUUGAUGGAAAGCUAGUGUGGAAAAUUGAUCGAUUGGCCCCAUGACUAGUUUUUCCAUUCUCAUCUUUAUAAUAAACUUUGCAUGAAUUAAAUAUUUUCAUUCUCAUCUUUGUAAUUUUCUUGGCAAGGAUUCAUUUGUUACUGUUUUUGUAGAUAUAAACUAGUGAGAGGCAUGUGUGAUGCAUAGCACAUAAAUAAGUGAUUUGCAUGGUUAAGUCACCAUUAUUACUGGUGGGGGCAGUCGAGUAAUGUGACAGAUAGGGUAAUUAGUACUCAAUUUCUUUUGUAUUUUGGUAAUUUAAACUGAGACAAUUAGUUUUUUUUU